UCUCUCAUGGUCCAACGGUUCAAGACACGCGCCUGUCAAAAGCGGUUAUUAGACUGCAAAUUGCUCGCGCGUAACCCGGGUUCGACUCCCGGUGAGGGAG